rnacentral:rRNA from 1 species
AACGAACGCUGGCGGCAGGCCUAACACAUGCAAGUCGAACGCCCUAGCAAUAGGGAGUGGCAGACGGGUGAGUAACGCGUGGGAACGUGCCCUUCGGUUCGGAAUAACUCAGGGAAACUUGAGCUAAUACCGGAUACGUGCGAGAGCAGAAAGAUUUAUCGCCGAAGGAUCGGCCCGCGUUCGAUUAGCUAGUUGGUGAGGUAAUGGCUCACCAAGGCGACGAUCGAUAGCUGGUCUGAGAGGAUGAUCAGCCACGCUGGGACUGAGACACGGCCCAGACUCCUACGGGAGGCAGCAGUGGGGAAUAUUGGACAAUGGGCGCAAGCCUGAUCCAGCCAUGCCGCGUGAGUGAUGAAGGCCCUAGGGUUGUAAAGCUCUUUCGCCAGGGACGAUAAUGACGGUACCUGGAUAAGAAGCCCCGGCUAACUUCGUGCCAGCCGCCGCAGUAA